GUACUUACCUGGCAGGGGAGAUACCACACCACGAAGGUGGUUUUCCCAGGGCGAGGCUUAUCCGUUGCACUCCAAUGUGCCAUCCCCUGCGAUUUCCCCAAAUGUGGGAAACUCAACUGCGUAAUUUGUGGUAGUGGGGGACUGCGUUCGCGCUCUCCCGUU